rnacentral:rRNA from 1 species
GAUGAACGCUGGCGGCGUGCCUAAUACAUGCAAGUCGAGCGAACAGACGAGGAGCUUGCUCCUCUGACGUUAGCGGCGGACGGGUGAGUAACACGUGGAUAACCUACCUAUAAGACUGGGAUAACUUCGGGAAACCGGAGCUAAUACCGGAUAAUAUAUUGAACCGCAUGGUUCAAUAGUGAAAGACGGUUUUGCUGUCACUUAUAGAUGGAUCCGCGCCGCAUUAGCUAGUUGGUAAGGUAACGGCUUACCAAGGCGACGAUGCGUAGCCGACCUGAGAGGGUGAUCGGCCACACUGGAACUGAGACACGGUCCAGACUCCUACGGGAGGCAGCAGUAGGGAAUCUUCCGCAAUGGGCGAAAGCCUGACGGAGCAACGCCGCGUGAGUGAUGACGGUCUUCCGAUCGUAAAACUCUGUUAUGAGGGAAGAACAAAUGUGUAAGUAACUAUGCACGUCUUGACGGUACCUAAUCAGAAAGCAACGGCUAACUACGUG